rnacentral:rRNA from 1 species
UUCGGGUGCGGUGCCGGUCUAAGUUCUUUGGAACAAGACGUCAUAGAGGGUGAGAAUCCCGUAUGUGACUGGUGGCCUGCGCCCGUGUGAAGCUCCUUCGACGAGUCGAGUUGUUUGGGAAUGCAGCUCUAAAUGGGUGGUGUACUUCAUCUAAAGCUAAAUAUUGGGUCUAGACCGAUAGCGCACAAGUAGAGUGAUCGAAAGAUGAAAAGCACUUUGGAAAGAGAGUUAAACAGUACGUGAAAUUGUUGAAAGGGAAGCGCUUGCAAUCAGACUUGCGCUGCGUCGAUCAGCCUGGGUUUUCCCUGGUGCACUCGGCGCAGCGCAGGCCAGCAUCAGUUCUGGCGGUUGGAUAAAGGCCUGGAGAACGUGGGUCGCCUUGGCGAUUGUUAUAGCUCUGGGUGCAAUGCAGCCUGCCGGGACUGAGGACCGCGCUUCGGCUAGGAUGCUGGCGUAAUGGUUGUAAGCGACCCGUCUUGAAACACGGACCAAGGAGUCUAACAUUUAUGCGAGUGUUUGGGUGUCAAACCCAUACGCGCAAUGAAAGUGAACGGAGGUGAGAACCCUUAAGGGCGCAUCAUCGACCGAUCCUGAUGUCUUCGGAUGGAUUUGAGUAAGAGCAUAACUGUUGGGACCCGAAAGAUGGUGAACUAUGCGUGGAUAGGGUGAAGCCAGAGGAAACUCUGGUGGAGGCUCGUAGCGGGUUCUGACGUAGAGAGGGGAACGGGGCAUCACAUUUUGGGCACAGAGCAGAAAAUGGCAUGCAAUCAAAUGCCAUUGUGGGGUAUCUGCAGCAAGUACGCGGCAACUUACCCGGCGCUCAUCGUGCUCAAAGUGUGGUGGAUCGAUUCUUGUGCGUCUGAGAGCAAGCAAGUUGCCUGCUAGUGGGAAAGCUUGAGCCUUUUAUGCUUUCCCGCGACACUGUCAAUCUGUGAGGAGACCCUGGAACAUGACGCAUCUCCGUGAGGGGGUGUUUCGCGUUCGGGGCAAUUCGCAGCGAAGCCCUAUACGGGGUUGCGUUCAGAGACUAGAUGACAGUGGGCUCUGCGGAGUUUGAGGUAUAGUCCACCCCCAGCCGAGCAAGGUUGUCGGGAGCACGUGGCAAAUCGAUCGUAUAAUCUGCGUAUAGGGGCGAAAGACUAAUCGAACCAUUGAAGCCGAACUAGGUGGUUGGGAGGCCUGUAAGGCCUAGUCCUCAUAGGGGGCGAUACUGCAAAAUUGCGGGGACAGCUCGAUAGACGCAGGCUACCACAGCGGGCUUGAAAAAGCCCGCCACGGUCACAAUGCCUGCGCCUGAGCCGAUCCGCAGCGGUUUCCUACGGCGCAUCAGCGCUAUGGAACGCGUACAUCGACUAGAUGG